AACCCUAGUUGAAGAUUAACUCCAUUCACUCGCCAUUCACGCCUAGUUUUUGAAUGCUGUAGUCCUCCAACUCCCAGGUUCCCGAAACUCCCAGGUUCAUUUCAAUUUUUCACGUUUUCCUUGCUCCCUGCCUUCUCUCUCCGUUGAAGAUGUGACGUCCUCAGCUGUCACCGCCGCCGCGGCUCGCAUCGCAUGAGCUCCCUCCGUCGCCCUCAUCGUGUUUGCUCCCUUUGUUGCCAUCGUCGUACGACCUCUCUCCGCCGUGCUCUUGUCUUACGAGCUCCUUCCGUGCUGCUCUCGUCGCUGCUUCUUCUCUCCUCGCCGGAGGUUGUCAUCAUCUCUUCUCGUCGUCGUUAGUUCAGAAGUAAACCUUCUGCAGAAAGUUCCGGCUAUUGUUCAUGGAAACUUGAAGCUCUCCGAGAGGAGGAGCUUAAAAUAUUAAAGCUGGAUAGAGACAAAAUGGAAAAGAAUGAAAUUGAGGCUGCUCUUGAAACAAGCAGGAAGUCUUUAGCGGCUAAUGUCCUUUCCAGUGCUUCUCAGAUGUCAGAUCCUUCCAAAAGUUUUCCAGAAAGGGAAGAAGUCGUAAGUUCCAUACAAAGGCUAAAUAAAGAUUUGAUGGAUACACAGCCGAAAAAUCAGAAAAAAUGGACGAAGACAUCAAAAUUAUUGAAGAUCUAAGGCAAAGCAAUGAUUAUUUAAGGGCUCAAGUAUCUUUGGUUGCUGAGAAAUCAUAGAAAUUGAAUUCUCGCUUUUCACUACUUGCUUUCGAAUUUCUUGUAUCUUCUGCAUAAAAUGGUUAAGUAGUUUCCACUUUCAUAACAUCGUUCUUAAUAAUGUUUUUCUCUUCCAGAUGGAGCUAGCGAGAAAAGUUUUUAAGGACGGAAGGGAUGUUGAUUUAGAAGAUCAAGUCAUUUCAGAUCAAUUCCAGAUUGUCGAUAUUUUAGUUUCAUGUGUGUUUCCAUCACAGGCCUUAAAACUUGCAUGACAAGUGGAUAUUCAUACAUUGAAGGAAUUGAACAUUUGCUUCUUUCCUUAAAGCGAAACAACUAUGAGAUGCA